GGGGGCAUAGCUCAGUGGUAGAGCGCAUGCUUAGCAUGCACAAGGUCCUGGAUUCAAUCCCCAGCACCGCCA
rnacentral:tRNA from 1 species